AGUGAACGCUGGCGGUAGGCCUAACACAUGCAAGUCGAACGGCAGCACAGUAAGAGCUUGCUCUUACGGGUGGCGAGUGGCGGACGGGUGAGGAAUACAUCGGAAUCUACUUUUUCGUGGGGGAUAACGUAGGGAAACUUACGCUAAUACCGCAUACGACCUACGGGUGAAAGCAGGGGAUCUUCGGACCUUGCGCGAUUGAAUGAGCCGAUGUCGGAUUAGCUAGUUGGCGGGGUAAAGGCCCACCAAGGCGACGAUCCGUAGCUGGUCUGAGAGGAUGAUCAGCCACACUGGAACUGAGACACGGUCCAGACUCCUACGGGAGGCAGCAGUGGGGAAUAUUGGACAAUGGGCGCAAGCCUGAUCCAGCCAUACCGCGUGGGUGAAGAAGGCCUUCGGGUUGUAAAGCCCUUUUGUUGGGAAAGAAAAGCAGCAGGUUAAUACCCCGCUGUUCCGACGGUACCCAAAGAAUAAGCACCGGCUAACUUCG
rnacentral:rRNA from 1 species